CGCGAAUAGCUCAUUACAACAGCCAUAGUUUAUUGGAUGUUUACGUUCCUACAAGGACACCUGCGGUAAUUCUGGAGCUAAUACUUGCGAAAUGCGACAACCUCACGGGAGUCGUGCAUUUAUUAGAUUAAACCAAUCGGUCCUUCGGGACCGCCAUUUGGUGAACUCUGAAUAACUUAGCUGAUCGCACAGUCUCGUACUGGCGACAAAUCUUUCAAGUGUCUGCCUUAUCAACUUUCGAUGGUAGUUUAUACGACUACCAUGGUUGUAACGGGUAACGGAGAAUAAGGGUUCGACUCCGGAGAGGGAGCCUGAGAAACGGCUACCACAUCCAAGGAAGGCAGCAGGCGCGCAAAUUACCCAGUCGCAGAACGCGGAGGUAGUGACGAAAAAUAACGAGGUGGCUCUCUAUGAGGUCCAUCAUCGGAAUGGGUACAAUUUAAAUCCUUUAACGAGGAUCUAUUGGAGGGCAAGUCUGGUGCCAGCAGCCGCGGUAAUUCCAGCU
rnacentral:rRNA from 1 species